GCAUUGGUGGUUCAGUGGUAGAAUUCCUGCCUCCCAUGCAGGAGACCCGGGUACGAUUCCCAGCCAAUGCA
rnacentral:tRNA from 1 species